AUUGAACGCUGGCGGCAGGCCUAACACAUGCAAGUCGAACGGUAGCACAGAGAGCUUGCUCUUGGGUGACGAGUGGCGGACGGGUGAGUAAUGUCUGGGAAACUGCCCGAUGGAGGGGGAUAACUACUGGAAACGGUAGCUAAUACCGCAUAACGUCGCAAGACCAAAGUGGGGGACCUUCGGGCCUCACACCAUCGGAUGUGCCCAGAUGGGAUUAGCUAGUAGGUGGGGUAAUGGCUCACCGAGGCGACGAUCCCUAGCUGGUCUGAGAGGAUAGUCAGCCACACUGGAACUGAGACACGGUCCAGACUCCUACGGGAGGCAGCAGUGGGGAAUAUUGCACAAUGGGCGCAAGCCUGAUGCAGCCAUGCCGCGUGUAUGAAGAAGGCCUUCGGGUUGUAAAUUACUUUCAGCGAGGAGGAAGGCAUUAAGGUUAAUAACCUUAGUGAUUGACGUUACUCGCAGAAGAAGCACCGGCUAACUCCGUGCCAGCCGCCGCAGUAA
rnacentral:rRNA from 1 species